ACGGAAGGCAGCAGUGGGGGAUAUUGCACAAUGGGCGCAAGCCUGAUGCAGCGACGCCGCGUGAGUGAAGAAGUAUUUCGGUAUGUAAAGCUCUAUCAGCAGGGAAGAAAAUGACGGUACCUGACUAAGAAGCUCCGGCUAAAUACGUGCCAGCAGCCGCGGUAAUACGUAUGGAGCAAGCGUUAUCCGGAUUUACUGGGUGUAAAGGGAGCGUAGGCGGUGAUGCAAGUCAGAAGUGAAAACCCGGGGCUCAACCCCGUGGAUUGCUUUUGAGACUGUGUUGCUGGAGUGCAGGAGGGGCAGGCGGAAUUCCUGGUGUAGCGGUGAAAUGCGUAGAUAUCAGGAGGAACACCGGUGGCGAAGGCGGCCUGCUGGACUGUAACUGACGCUGAGGCUCGAAGGCGUGGGGAGCAAACAGGAUUAGAUACCCUGGUA
rnacentral:rRNA from 1 species